GAUAUUUUCUUAAUCAAAUUAAAAAAACAAUAAAAUACGAUUAAUAUUGUGCGCCACGAGGCUUAAAUGAUGGGGAAUGAGUACGAAUGAAGUUUUUCUACCCUUACUCUGAUUAUUUUGUACACAAGACGUUUGACUUGUUUGUCUGAAAUAUUCGCCUCCAUCCAUAAGUCUUUAGUACAGUCUAAUCAAAAACACUUUUUUCAUAAACCCUUUUUCAAGUUAAAAUCAAC
rnacentral:lncRNA from 1 species